GAAAUGCGAUAAGUAAUGUGAAUUGCAGAAUUCAGUGAAUCAUCGAAUCUUUGAACGCACAUUGCGCCCGCCAGCACUCUGGCGGGCAUGCCUGUUCGAGCGUCAUUUCAACCCUCAGAACCCCUUGCGGGAUCUGGCGUUGGGGAUUGGCAUCCAGCCAGCCCCGAGAUCUAGUGGCGGUCCCUCCGCGACCUCCCCUGUGCAGUAGCGAUACCUCGCAGCGGGACAGCGGUCUGACCACGCCGUAAAACCCCCAACUUCUCAAGGUUGACCUCGAAUCAGGUAGGAAUACCCGCUGAACUUAAGC
rnacentral:misc_RNA from 1 species